CAUCGCCAUUUUGCGGUUUGGGAGCUUGGAGAGAGGUGCGCCGAAUUUGUGAAUUAAAAUCUAUCGCCAUCAGAGCUGAACUUGUAUUAAUCGAGGAAAACGGACAUCUGGGACACUGGUCACAUGAUCUGAAGCGCACCCUAGUCACCAUUUUAAAAGAGUCAGUUUGUCGUGUCCACCUGGGGGGUGUUUGUCUGGUGGUAG